AGGACAAAGGGGCAAAUCAGCAUAUGAUGAGUGUUGGGGCUUCAGGACAAUACAAGGAAGUUUGGCUGUGAAGAAUUCGUUUGGAUGUUAAUUUUCAUGGACAAUUGACAGACACUAAUGCUGGAAGCCGAGCCACCCCAGCCUGAGUGGCAAAGCCUGGGCUGUGGACGGAUUGGUGACUGCAAGGCGGCCAACCGACACUGAAGCUUCUUGUACUCCUGCUUUUAGGUAAUUUGGCCUUAAAACUACCAGGGGUAUAG